rnacentral:rRNA from 1 species
UCCGUGCCGCAGUUAACACAAUAAGUAUUCCACCUGGGGAGUACGACCGCAAGGUUGAAACUCAAAGGAAUUGACGGGGGCCCGCACAAGCAGUGGAUUAUGUGGUUUAAUUCGACGCAACGCGAAGAACCUUACCAGGAUUUGACAUCCAACUAACGAAGUAGAGAUACAUUAGGUGCCCUUCGGGGAAAGUUGAGACAGGUGGUGCAUGGUUGUCGUCAGCUCGUGUCGUGAGAUGUUGGGUUAAGUCCCGCAACGAGCGCAGCCCCUAUUGUUAGUUGCUACGCAAGAGCACUCUAGCGAGACUGCCGUUGACAAAACGGAGGAAGGCGGGGACGACGUCAAAUCAUCAUGCCCUUUAUGUCCUGGGCUACACACGUAAUACAAUGGCCGUCAACAGAGGGAAGCAAAACCGCGAGGUGGAGCAAAUCCCUAAAAACGGUCUCAGUUCGGAUUGCAGGCUGCAACUCGCCUGCAUGAAGCUGGAAUUGCUAGUAAUCGCGGAUCAGCAUGCCGCGGUGAAUACGUUCCCGGGCCU